AACUACUAUAACGGCCAUAGCAGAAGUGCUCAUGUCACGGCCCUAUCAGAUUCUAAUGAAACUUCAAAUUCUGUU
rnacentral:ribozyme from 1 species